CCUACGGGGAGGCAGCAGUAGGGAAUCUUCCGCAAUGGACGAAAGUCUGACGGAGCAACGCCGCGUGAGUGAUGAAGGUUUUCGGAUCGUAAAGCUCUGUUGUUAGGGAAGAACAAGUACCGUUCGAAUAGGGCGGUACCUUGACGGUACCUAACCAGAAAGCCACGGCUAACUACGUGCCAGCAGCCGCGGUAAUACGUAGGUGGCAAGCGUUGUCCGGAAUUAUUGGGCGUAAAGGGCUCGCAGGCGGUUUCUUAAGUCUGAUGUGAAAGCCCCCGGCUCAACCGGGGAGGGUCAUUGGAAACUGGGGAACUUGAGUGCAGAAGAGGAGAGUGGAAUUCCACGUGUAGCGGUGAAAUGCGUAGAGAUGUGGAGGAACACCAGUGGCGAAGGCGACUCUCUGGUCUGUAACUGACGCUGAGGAGCGAAAGCGUGGGGAGCGAACAGGAUUAGAUACCCUGGUAGUCCACGCCGUAAACGAUGAGUGCUAAGUGUUAGGGGGUUUCCGCCCCUUAGUGCUGCAGCUAACGCAUUAAGCACUCCGCCUGGGGAGUACGGUCGCAAGA
rnacentral:rRNA from 1 species